GCCCACUGAUGAGAUCAUGGCAACUUUUAUGAUCCAGUCAGACCAAGAGAUUGUGGCCUUUGCCUGCUGUUAGAUGGGUAGUCUUGGUAGUGUGAUUUAGUUGUAUUGCAUUGCUGUAAGGGCCCAUCCACAGUUAACUUGUCACUUUCUACAUUUUCUGUCCCCCCCCAGAGGAAUGGGAUGGGACUUGUAGGAGAUGUCAAACAAUGUACGGAUGUUUGUUUGUUUGUUUGUUUGUCUGUUUGUUGCUGAAUGAUUGUAUAUGUAUCAGCUGUCAAGCGGCCAUAGUCUCAGUAGUUGGUUUGGCGAUUAUGAACUAGUCUUUGGUAAUCUGAGGGCA